rnacentral:rRNA from 1 species
AGCGACGCCGCGUGAGCGAUGAAGGUCCUAUGGAUUGUAAAGCUCUGUCAGAUUGGGAAGAAAACUUCGCGAUUAAUACCCGCGAAGCUUGACGGUACCAUCAGAGGAAGCACCGGCUAACUCCGUGCCAGCAGCCGCGGUAAUACGGAGGGUGCGAGCGUUGUUCGGAUUCACUGGGUAUAAAGGGUGCGUAGACGGCCUCGUAAGUCAGGGGUGAAAUAUGACGGCUCAACCGUCAAACUGCCCCUGAAACUGCAAGGCUUGAGUCCGGGAGAGGAAGGUGGAAUUCCUGGUGUAGCGGUGAAAUGCGUAAAUAUCGGGAGGAACACCGGUGGCGAAGGCGGCCUUCUGGUCCGGUACUGACGCUGAGGCACGAAAGCUAGGGGAGCGAACAGGAUUAGAUACCCUGGUAGUCCUAGCCGUAAACGAUGGGCACUAGGUGUCGGAGGAGUCUACCCCUUCGGUGCCGCAGCUAAUGCAUUAAGUGCCCCACCUGGGGAGUACGAUCGCAAGGUUGAAACUCAAAGGAAUUGACGGGGGCCCGCACAAGCGGUGGAGCAUGUGGUUUAAUUCGAUGCAACGCGAAGAACCUUACCUGGGCUUGACAUGCAGGGGACAGGUGCAGAAAUGUACCCUUCUUCGGACCCCUGUGCAGGUGCUGCAUGGCUGUCGUCAGCUCGUGUCGUGAAAUGUUGGGUUAAGUCCCGCAACGAGCGCAACCCCUGUCUUCAGUUGCCAUCAGUUCGGCUGGGGACUCUGGAGAGACUGCCGGUGACAAACCGGAGGAAGGUGGGGACGACGUCAAGUCAUCAUGGCCCUUACGCCCAGGGCUACACACGUGCUACAAUGGUCGGUACAAUGGGCAGCAAUACCGUGA